rnacentral:tRNA from 1 species
AGCGAAGUGGCGCAGUGGAAGCGUGCUGGGCUCAUAACCCAGAGGUCGGUGGAUCGAAACCACUCUUCGCUA